UGAUAUGAUGAUAAACUUUAUUUACACAGACCUGUACUGAAACUAUGUUUAUGCAGAGAAAAAUAUUGCAAUUUUACUUCUGAUU
rnacentral:snoRNA from 1 species